rnacentral:rRNA from 1 species
CCGCCCUUCAGUGCUGCAGCUAACGCAUUAAGCACUCCGCCUGGGGAGUACGACCGCAAGGUUGAAACUCAAAGGAAUUGACGGGGGCCCGCACAAGCGGUGGAGCAUGUGGUUUAAUUCGAAGCAACGCGAAGAACCUUACCAGGUCUUGACAUCCUUUGACCACUCUAGAGAUAGAGCUUCCCCUUCGGGGGCAAAGUGACAGGUGGUGCAUGGUUGUCGUCAGCUCGUGUCGUGAGAUGUUGGGUUAAGUCCCGCAACGAGCGCAACCCUUAUUGUUAGUUGCCAUCAUUCAGUUGGGCACUCUAGCAAGACUGCCGGUGACAAACCGGAGGAAGGUGGGGAUGACGUCAAAUCAUCAUGCCCCUUAUGACCUGGGCUACACACGUGCUACAAUGGGAAGUACAACGAGUUGCGAAGUCGCGAGGCUAAGCUAAUCUCUUAAAGCUUCUCUCAGUUCGGAUUGCAGGCUGCAACUCGCCUGC